UACGAAGGGGGCUAGCGUUGCUCGGAAUCACUGGGCGUAAAGCGCACGUAGGCGGAUCUUUAAGUCAGGGGUGAAAUCCCAAGGCUCAACCUUGGAACUGCCUUUGAUACUGGGGAUCUCGAGUCCGGAAGAGGUUGGUGGAACUGCGAGUGUAGAGGUGAAAUGCGUAGAUAUCUGGAGGAACACCGGUGGCGAAGGCGGCAUCCUGGACCAACACUGACACUGAGGAGCGAAAGCCAGGGGAGCAAACGGG
rnacentral:rRNA from 1 species